rnacentral:rRNA from 1 species
AGAGUUUGAUCCUGGCUCAGAACGAACGCUGGCGGCGUGCUUAACACAUGCAAGUCGAACGUGAUCCGGAGCUUGCUCCGGUGAAAGUGGCGCACGGGUGAGUAACGCGUGGAUAACCUGCCCUGGUAUCCGGAAUAACAUCUCGAAAGGGGUGCUAAUACCGGAUAAGCCUACGGAGCCUUCGGUCUCUGCAGGAAAAGGUGGCCUCUAUUUAUAAGCUACCGUAUCAGGAUGGGUCCGCGUACCAUUAGCUAGUUGGUGGGGUAAUGGCCUACCAAGGCGACGAUGGUUAGCUGGUCUGAGAGGAUGAUCAGCCACACUGGAACUGAGACACGGUCCAGACUCCUACGGGAGGCAGCAGUGGGGAAUUUUGCGCAAUGGGGGAAACCCUGACGCAGCAACGCCGCGUGAGUGAUGAAGGCUUUCGGGUCGUAAAGCUCUGUCAGAGGGGAAGAAAUGAAAACGGCUAAUACCCGUUUUUCUUGACGGUACCCUCAAAGGAAGCACCGGCUAACUCCGUGCCAGCAGCCGCGGUAAUACGGAGGGUGCAAGCGUUGUUCGGAUUUAUUGGGCGUAAAGGCGCGUGUAGGCGGUUUCUUAAGUCUGAUGUGAAAGCCCUGGGCUCAACCCAGGAAGUGCAUUGGAUACUGGGAGACUUGAAUACGGGAGAGGGUAGUGGAAUUCCUAGUGUAGGAGUGAAAUCCGUAGAUAUUAGGAGGAACACCGGUGGCGAAGGCGGCUACCUGGACCGAUAUUGACGCUGAGACGCGAAAGCGUGGGGAGCAAACAGGAUUAGAUAC